CCCAGACUCCUACGGGAGGCAGCAGUGGGGGAUAUUGCACAAUGGGGGGAACCCUGAUGCAGCGACGCCGCGUGGGUGAAGGAGCGUUUCGGCGCGUAAAGCCCUCUCGGCAGGGAAGAAGGAGGACGGUACCUGACCAAGAAGCCCCGGCUAACUACGUGCCAGCAGCCGCGGUAAUACGUAGGGGGCAAGCGUUAUCCGGGUUUACUGGGUGUAAAGGGGGCGCAGACGGCAGCGCAAGCCAGGAGUGAAAGCCCGGGGCCCAACCCCGGGACUGCUCUUGGAACUGCGCGGCUGGAGUGCAGGAGGGGCAGGCGGAAUUCCUGGUGUAGCGGUGGAAUGCGUAGAUAUUAGGAGGAACACCAGUGGCGAAGGCGGCCUGCUGGACGAUGACUGACGCUGAGGCUCGAAAGCGUGGGGAGCAAACAGGAUUAGAUACCCGUGUAU
rnacentral:rRNA from 1 species